GCCAAUAGCCAUGCCACCCUAAACGUGCCUGAUCUCGUCCGAUUCUGGAAGCUAAGCAGGGUUGGGCCUGGUUAGUACUUAUAUGGGAGACCACCUUGGAAUACCAGGUGCUGUAGUUU
rnacentral:rRNA from 1 species